GUCCUUGUAGCUUAACCAAAAGCAUAGCACUGAAGAUGCUAAGAUGACAUUCCAUGUGUCCAAGGACA
rnacentral:tRNA from 1 species